rnacentral:rRNA from 1 species
UUGAACGCUGGCGGCAUGCCUUACACAUGCAAGUCGAACGACGCCAGGGGGCAACUCCUGGCGAGUGGCGAACGGGUGAGUAAUGCAUCGGAACGUGCCCUCUCGUGGGGGAUAACCAGUCGAAAGAUUGGCUAAUACCGCAUGAGCUCGAGAGAGGAAAGCGGGGGAUCCGCAAGGACCUCGCGCGAGAGGAGCGGCCGAUGCCCGAUUAGCUAGUUGGUGGGGUAAUAGCCCACCAAGGCGACGAUCGGUAGCUGGUCUGAGAGGACGACCAGCCACACUGGGACUGAGACACGGCCCAGACUCCUACGGGAGGCAGCAGUGGGGAAUUUUGGACAAUGGGGGAAACCCUGAUCCAGCCAUGCCGCGUGUGUGAAGAAGGCCUUCGGGUUGUAAAGCACUUUCGGACGGAACGAAAUCGCGCGGGCGAACACCCCGCGUGGAUGACGGUACCGUAAGAAGAAGCACCGGCUAACUACGU